UUUCCGUAGGUGUACCUGCGGAAGGAUCAUUAUUGUAUAACCGAGGUGCGAGGGCUGUCGCUGACCCGAAAGGUCGUGCACGCCCGAGUGCCCUCACACACAUCCAUCUCACCCCUAUGUGCACCACCGCGUGGGUCCCCCUUUGGCUUGUUCGGAGGGGGGCUUACGUUUUCACACAAACUUUGUAUGCAGUGUAGAAUGUAUUUUUUGUUUUUGCGAUCACGCAAUCAAUACAACUUUCAACAACGGAUCUCUUGGCUCUC
rnacentral:misc_RNA from 1 species